rnacentral:pre_miRNA from 1 species
CCCAGAUAAUGGCACCCUCAAACCAGUGUCCAGUUGUUUGAAAGGCUAUUUCUUGGUC